UAGGGAAUCUUCCGCAAUGGACGCAAGUCUGACGGAGCAACGCCGCGUGAGUGAAGAAGGAUAUCGGUUCGUAAAACUCUGUUGUUAGAGAAGAACAGCGCAUAGAGUAACUGUUAUGCGUGUGACGGUAUCUAACCAGAAAGCCACGGCUAACUACGUGCCAGCAGCCGCGGUAAUACGUAGGUGGCAAGCGUUGUCCGGAUUUAUUGGGCGUAAAGCGAGCGCAGGCGGUCAAUUAAGUCUGAUGUGAAAGCCCCCGGCUCAACCGGGGAGGGUCAUUGGAAACUGGUUGACUUGAGUGCAGAAGAGGAGAGUGGAAUUCCAUGUGUAGCGGUGAAAUGCGUAGAUAUAUGGAGGAACACCAGUGGCGAAGGCGACUCUCUGGUCUGUAACUGACGCUGAGGCUCGAAAGCGUGGGUAGCAAACAGG
rnacentral:rRNA from 1 species